CCGACUUCAACCCUUGACCACAGGAGCCAGCUGCGGCACCUGCCGGGGUGUUGUAUCACAGUGCCUUCAGUUUGUUACCGGCUGGGCAAUAUUUUCAAUUCUUUUUAAACGUUGAUUCAUUUCUGAGAGAGAGAAAGAGAGCAAGCAGGGGUGGGGCAGAGAGAGAGGGAGACACAGAACCUGAAACAGGCUCUAGGCUCCGGAGCUGUCAGCACAGAGAUGAUGACCUGAGCCUAAGUCGGAUGCUUAACCCACUGAGCCACCCGGGCACCGGUGGGCAAUUUCUGAAUUCCGCUUUGUCCUUCCACCUGGAUGAGUUUCUUCCUCCGCAAGUCAAAAAAGGCCCCUUCAAGCUUAUUCGUUUGUUCAGCAAAUACUAUUAUGUAUCUGGAACUCUAUUGUGGGCUGGAUUUACGAAGAUGAACGUGGCAGUUUUUUUUAGGUAUCUAUGAAAGUCUGGCCCCUGCUUGCUGAAUUCUUCCAAAAGCACUGGAUUUUUGUCAACAGGAUUGGAUGUUGCUGGAGUUGUGAGAUGUCUCAGCUCUGGAGAUUAUGUUAUUACUGUCAUUCUUCUCCCAGGUACCAUAUUUAGGAUUUUUAGACCUAUUUAUAAACCACUGACUCCUUGUUUACACUGGCUGGUGCCUACCGCAGAAGAAAUACUUGUUGACUGACUUUCUUAGUCCAUUCAUUAAAACUGGCUUAUUAACCUUCUUCCCAGAGCACUGCCAGCAAAUGUGUGAGCUCUUCCAUUUCAGGCAUCAGCAACUCUGCUUUACUGGAAGGACUCUUACAGUUCAGCUUUAAAUAGUAUUGAUAAUAUUUUAGUUGCCCUGUUGAAUUUACCAUUAUAACAUUCACUGUAAUUUGUCAUACUUACUAUGUGGGCUAUGCAUUUAUAUACAGUUACACACAAUGGUACAUAGGGGCUCACACUCAAUAUAUGUGUCUGUCAGAACAAAAUACUUUAGAAAAUUCUAUAUAGUAUUCUUCCUAAUCCAUAUCUAUAUUGCUGUACAGAGUUUAAUAUAGUUAAAGGUUAUAGACUAGUGGGGCACCUGGGUGGCUCAGUCGGUUAAGUGUCCAGCUCUCGAUUUCAGUUCAGGUCUUGAUCUCAGGGUUGUAAGUUCAAGCCCUGCAUUGGGCUCCAUACUGGGCAUGAAGCCUACUUAAGUAAAAAAAAAAAAAAAAAAAGGUUAUAGACGAGAUUAUAUUAGGCCCGAGUUAAAUUUAUGGCUGAAAACAAUUAAAGAAGCAGGUCACCCUGACACCACAUGUAUUUAUUUUAUGUCUGCCAGAGGAGGUGAAGAGGUUCUUAAUCUUUUUUUAUGCCAUGGACUUCAUUAGCAGUCUGGUGAAGGUUUUGCAGCCCUUCUCAGAGUAAUCUUUCUGAAUGCAUGAACUACAUAGAGGGUUACAUUUUAAACAGUUUCAUUGGAACACAAUUCUAUCCUGGGGUCCCAGCUUCAAACCCUCUGAAGCUCUAUGGGUACUUAGUUUCCUCAGGCUGCCACAACAAAAUAUCAUAGACUAGGUGGUUUAAACAAUAGAAAUUUAUUUUCUCACAGUUCUGGAAGCCAGCAAAUUUGGUUUCUUGUGAGGGUUCUGUUCCUGGCUUGUAGAUGACCAUCAUCUUUCUGUAUCUUCACGUGGCCUUUCGUGUGUGUGUGUGUGUGUGUGUGUGUGUGUGUGUGUGUGCAUGCACGCGCGCGCGCACACACACACACUCGUGCAUGGGUAGGGAGGGAGAGAGCACAUCUCUGGUGUCUCUGUCUCUGCUUGUAAGGACAUUAAUCCUAUUGGAUUAGGGUCCUACCCUUAUAUCCUCACUUCCUUAGAGGCCCCAUCCCCAAACACAACCACACUGGGAGUUAGGGCUUCAAUAUAUGAAUCUGGGGGCGGGGGCGGGGUAACAAACGUUCAGUUCAAAAUAGUACUACAGGAAGUUAACAAUAGUCCCCACGUCCAUUCUCAGAAGCUCUCAGAGAUUAAAGUUUGAGGACUCUGAGAAAUGGAAGAAUUUAGAAUCUAGGGAUUCUAGUAGAUGAAAGCUACCUAAGCAACCCCAAGAAUACUGAAAAUUAAAUGCUGUUUUUACAUGUGUUUUGAUACUAUCAUGGUUGUAACUUAACUUGAUCAAAGCAUUUUUGCUGGAGUUAGUCUCAGAAUAGUCUCAGAAUUUAGAGGACAGAAUAAAGAAGUAUGAUCUAUAAUAUAGAUGGACA
ensembl:lncRNA